GCAGAAUAUGUUCAACAGAAUCUAUAGCACCUUUUCUCUAGAAAUUAGAUAUAGUUACAAAUUAAGCAAGAGCUGCUCUAAAGUCUAAAGCUGUUCAUUUUGCAGAAAGGAAAAAAAUUGAGAGGAAAAACAAAGAGAAGACUCUGAUAUUUGAGAUUGAGGCACAAAGAGCAAAACUUUGACACCACUUACGUAAAAUGUACAGUGAAAAAUAAGCUAAAAAGUUUUAAAAAAAAAAAUUACAUUCAAGA
rnacentral:misc_RNA from 1 species